rnacentral:rRNA from 1 species
UACGUAGGGGGCAAGCGUUGUCCGGAAUCAUUGGGCGUAAAGGAGCGUGUAGGCGGCCCGGUAAGUCCGCUGUGAAAGUCCAGGGCUCAACCCUGGGAUGCCGGUGGAUACUGUCGGGACUCGAGUUCCGGAAGAGGAGUGUGGAAUUCCUGGUGGUAGCGGUGAAAUGCGCAGAUAUCAGGAGGAACACCAAUGGCGAAGGCAGCACUCUGG